GUGUCAGCCGCCGCGGUAAUACGAAGGGGGCUAGCGUUGUUCGGAAUGACUGGGCGUAAAGGGCGCGUAGGCGGCGGACUUAGUCAGGCGUGAAAGCCCUGGGCUCAACCUGGGAAUUGCGUUUGAUACUGGUCUGCUGGAGUGCGGGAGAGGAUGGUGGAAUUCCCAGUGUAGAGGUGAAAUUCGUAGAUAUUGGGAAGAACACCGGUGGCGAAGGCGGCCAUCUGGACCGUUACUGACGCUGAGGCGCGAAAGCGUGGGGAGCAAACAGGAUUAGAUACCCUGGUAGUCCACGCUGUAAACGAUGUGUGCUAGACGUUGGGGGGUUGCCUCCCGGUGUCGCAGCCAACGCGUUAAGCACACCGCCUGGGGAGUACGGCCGCAAGGUUAAA
rnacentral:rRNA from 1 species